rnacentral:misc_RNA from 1 species
AUCAGUUUGAGGAGGCCAACAACAAGAUUGUUGCACAUUUAAAGACAAGGGAGGAUGAGCUAUUAAAAUCCAUUGCCUCGUGUAAGGCAGAAUCAAAUGUUUUGAAUAUUUGGAUUAAUUUUCUGGAAGAUACGUGGAAUAUCCAAUGCCUAUAUAGAGAAAAUAAGGAAAAGGAGGUCAAUGAUGCAUUGGAAAAACAUGAAGGUUACUUUGUCAACUUGGCCAUUGAUCUUCUAUCUGCUUAUAAGA